rnacentral:rRNA from 1 species
UACAGAGGGUGCUAGCGUUGUUCGGAAUUACUGGGCGUAAAGCGUGCGCAGGCGGUUUUGUAAGCCAGAUGUGAAAUCCCCGGGCUUAACCUGGGAAUGGCAUUUGGGACUGCAAGGCUGGAGUGCGGCAGAGGAGACUGGAAUUCCUGGUGUAGCAGUGAAAUGCGUAGAUAUCAGGAGGAACACCGAUGGCGAAGGCAGGUCUCUGGGCUGACACUGACGCUCAUGCACGAAAGCGUGGGGAGCAAACAGG